rnacentral:tRNA from 1 species
GUGGGUAUAGCUCAGUGGUUGAGUGCAUGCUUACUUAGCAUGCACAAGGUCUUGGGUUCAAUCCCCAGCACCUCCA